GCUUUCGAUGAUGACGCGGCUCGACGGCAAGGAAGCACUACGACUACGGUAACGCUCGAAGGCAACACGAUGGUGCAGAGCCAGAAGGAUAAGAAAGGCGUGAUCGACACAACCAUCACGCGGGAGCUCAAGGGUGACGAACUCAUAGUGACGUCAACGGCGACGGGCACUGACGUCGUCUGCCACCGUGUCUACAAGAAACAGUAACUCAUUCUAACUGUCCUGCGAAGCUCCAAUCUGUCUCCUUAUCUUAUUGUUCUAUCCUAUCUCGAGUGUUUAAAAAGUAUACCGAGUCAAAUUAUAAUAAGCCAGAGUACCAAAGUCAAAACAUAUAGGGCCUAGAGACGUAAAAUGUCAAAUUAUAAAGAGUUAAACUACAUUAAGAGUUAAAGUAUAAAGUGUCAAGACGUAUCAUACUAGUGCCUGUUCUUAUUCCGCAUUAAAAAACCAUGUUCUUUUAAAAGUAUAGAAUAUUCGUAACAUAUCAGGAGUCUAUCAAUAUCUAUUGAUCGAUAUAUUGAUUGAUCUAUUAAUAUAUUGAUUGAUCUAUCGAUAUAUUGAUAGAUCUAUUGAUAGACUCCUGAACAUAUUAUGUCAUUCAUGCUAUUAUAUUGUUUCGUACGCGUGUAAUAAAAACUAAUUUUUAUACACA